rnacentral:rRNA from 1 species
AGUAUACCUGCCCAGUGCGAAAUAUUAAUGUAAACGGCCGCCCUAGCGUGAGGGUGCUAAGGUAGCGAAAUUCCUUGCCUUUUGAUUGUAGGCCUGCAUGAAUGGUUUAACGAGGGUUUAGCUGUCUCUAAAUUUUUAAUUGAAAUUGUAUUGAAGGUGAAGAUACCUUCAUUUAAAAGUUAGACAAAAAGACCCCGUGCAACUUUGAAAAUUAACUUUAUUCAGGGGUAAAAGAUUUUUAGGUGGGGCGCCUAGAAAGUAAGCCUAACCUUUCUGAGUAAGAGUUUCUUUCAGGAGUUGACCCGAUUAUAUUCGAUCAUAGGAGAAGUUACGCCGGGGAUAACAGGCUAAUCCUUUAGUAGAGCUCGUAUUGGCUAAAGGGAUUGGCACCUCGAUGUUGAAUCAGGGAUGAUAGCUUCAAGGCGUAGAGGCUUUGAGAGUAGGUCUGUUCGACCUUUAAUACCCUACGUGAUCUGUUUAUACCGUGAAACUAGCGGGGACUUCCUAAUGGUGCAGCCGCUAUUAAGGGUUCGUUUGUUCAAACGAUUAAAGUCCUACGUGAUCUGAGUUCAGACCGGGGGGA